UUAAUUGAAGAGUUUGAUCAUGGCUCAGAUUGAACGCUGGCGGCAGGCCUAACACAUGCAAGUCGAGCGGCAGCGGAAAGUAGCUUGCUACUUUGCCGGCGAGCGGCGGACGGGUGAGUAAUGUCUGGGGAUCUGCCCGAUGGAGGGGGAUAACUACUGGAAACGGUAGCUAAUACCGCAUAACGUCGCAAGACCAAAGUGGGGGACCU
rnacentral:rRNA from 1 species